UGAGAAAUUCUGCAGAUAUGCUAAGUAAGGGAAAUUUGAGACAUUAUAGUGAAAUGAUAUUUAAAGAUAUGUUGCAUGAAUUUCUUCUUGAACACAGAAGCAAAAUUCUUGCUUUAUAGAAAUAAUAAAUCCAAGAUUUCAUCUGAAAUUUUUCAGAUUAUGCCAUCUGUAUUGGGUUUGAGUGACUAGGAUGUGAUAGCAGGAGAGGGACUACAGGAGUGGCUUCUGUGAGAAGCUACCAGAAGCUUUCCCUAUGCCCAACAGAGCCAACGCCAGCCAGCUCCAGGAUGAACCAGGCCAAGGCUGAGCCAAUCAGAGAUGGUGUUUCUCAUACCAUUUGGAACCCUGUGUAGAACUGCAGUACUUUCACAGUCACAGAAUCACAGAAUGAGUAAGGUUGGAAGGGAGGCCUAUCUGCACUGAGUAUGGAAGUCAGCAGAGGAUUAGCUUGGGUCAUUAAAGGUUUCUCAAAUCUUCCUGGCUUUUUGUACCAACAUUAUUACCAGGAAAUGGCUACUUAAUUCACUGAAAAUGGAACUUCACAUCCUGUUUCACUUUUUCACAAUAACAUCCCAAAU